GCAGCUUUAGCUCACUUGGGAGAGCGCCAGACUGAAGUCCUAACUUUGGUUUCAAAAGCGAAUCAGGCAUCUGAUCUCGUGAUCUGGAGGUAUUGAGUUCGAUCCUCAAAAGCUGCA